AUGCCUGGAAGAAUGGCACUGAACACUCAACAGACCCUCCAGGCUCUCAGUUCCACGGAAUCAUGCCAGCUUCCUUGUGAUUUUAUCGGAAAGGUGGGCAGUUUGGCUCCACCGCGACCCACAGGGCAACAUCUUCUGGGUAUCGAUUCUGCUGCAGUGAAAAGGAAGCCCUUCCUUUGGAAAACAGUAAGAAAGAGGACAGGAGCCCAGGCGUUCCGGACUGUUAUUCCUAUUGGCUGCUGUCAACCAGGACAGUGGCCUCGGAGUGACCAGCCCAGAGGAAGAAGAGGCUGCGGCAGGCCCUGCCCUCCGGGGGUUGAUGUCAGGGCCCAAAGGAGAGUGGGCACCUACUAGUAGCCCCUGCGCUCUGCAGCAGCUUCUCACGGCUCAUCACCUGUUUUAUACAGAGGUGAGCACGCGCUCUUCCCACCCGCCCGGUUCUUCCCGCCCCACAACGGCGUCACCUACCUACGCUGACCCUAUAAGUGGUUUUGAAAUCAGUGAGUCUGUUUCUGGCUUUUNAGUUCUUCCCGCCCCACAACGGCGUCACCUACGCUGACCCUAUAGGUGGUUUUGAAAUCAGUGAGUCUGUUUCUGGCUUUU
rnacentral:lncRNA from 1 species